rnacentral:rRNA from 2 species
CACUUGUCUCUUAAUUGGAGGCUUGAAUGAAGGGUUGGACGAGAUAUAAACUUUCUUUAUUAUAUAUAGUUGAAUUUGACUUUUGAGUCAAAAGGCUUAGAUUUAUUUAUAGGACGAGAAGACCCUAUAGAAUUUUAUAUUUUUAUUUAAUUAACCUAUUUGUUAAUAAUUGGGUUUUUUUAAUAUAAGUAUUUUGUUGGGGCGAUGGGAAGAUUUUUUUAACUCU